AAGCAAAAUUGCUCUCAACAAACUAGCAAACAAGCAUCGUUCUUAUUACAUGGAAUGAAAUGAGCAUGGCAGCCUCUGUGAAUAGGGCCACAGACAUGAGUGAUGUCACUUGCUCUCUUUGCCUGGAGCAGUAUAAGGACAUACAAGUGCUGCCUUGUUUGGACAGCUUUUGUCGGCACUGUCUGGAAAGUCUGGUGGACCACAGCUCCCAAGGCUGCAAACAAUUAGGGGUACAGAAAAA